AAUAUUGGACAAUGGGCGAAAGCCUGAUCCAGCCAUGCCGCGUGUGUGAAGAAGGUAUNCGGAUUNUNAAGCACUUUACGUAGGGNGGAAGGGCUUUAGGUUAAUACCCUGAAGUUUUGACGUUACCAACAGAAUAAGCACCGGCUAACUUCGUGCCAGCAGCCGAGGUAAUACGAAGGGUGCAAGCGUUAAUCGGAAUUACUGGGCGUAACGGACGCGUAUGUGGUUUGUUUAGUUUGAAGUGAACGCCCCUGGCUCAACCUGUGAACUGCUUUCAAAACUGGCAAGCUAGAGUAUGGCAGAGGGUGGUGUAAUUUCCUGUGUAGCGGUGAAAUGCGUAGAUAUAGGAAGGAACACCAGUGGCGAAGGCGACCACCUGGGCUAAUACUGACACUGAGGUGCGAAAGCGUGGGGAGCAAAC
rnacentral:rRNA from 1 species